rnacentral:rRNA from 1 species
UACGUAGGGUGCAAGCGUUGUCCGGAAUUAUUGGGCGUAAAGAGCUCGUAGGCGGUCUGUCGCGUCUGGUGUGAAAUCCCAUGGCUCAACCAUGGGCUUGCAUCGGGUACGGGCAGACUAGAGUGCUGUAGGGGAGACUGGAAUUCCUGGUGUAGCGGUGGAAUGCGCAGAUAUCAGGAGGAACACCGAUGGCGAAGGCAGGUCUCUGGGCAGUUACUGACGCUGAGGAGCGAAAGCAUGGGGAGCGAACAGG